UCGAAGCCAUUUCUUGCGAAAAAAGGAGCCGAUCCUUGAUAUAAAGUGAUCAAUUGCGUGAUGAUUUUAUAUGAUUUGUCGUCAUGCAGGAAUUGAUAAACUAACAUUGUGAAAAACUAAACACUCGCAAUCAUGUCUAUUCCACCGUAUUUGUUGAACCCAAAUCCAUGGGCCACGAUGAUGGCCCAACAACAAGCCCAGAUAGCAGCCCAAGUACAUGCCCAGGCUGCUGCAGCUCAUGCUCAAGCUGCUCAUCAUGCUCACAUGCAGGCUAUAGCUGGACCACCAUUACCUCAGAUGCCUAAACAACCAGAAGUUUUAUCUGAGGAUAAACUUCAGGAAAAAGCACAAAAAUGGCAGCAAUUACAAUCAAAACGAUUUGCGGAGAAGAGAAAGUUUGGCUUUGUAGAUGCUCAGAAAGAAGAUAUGCCGGCUGAGCAUAUAAGAAAGAUCAUUAGAGAUCAUGGUGAUAUGAGCAGUAGAAAAUAUCGUCAUGAUAAGCGUGUUUAUUUGGGAGCAUUAAAAUACAUGCCACAUGCCGUUAUGAAACUGUUGGAAAAUAUGCCUAUGCCAUGGGAACAAAUAAGGGAUGUAAAGGUCUUAUAUCAUAUUACUGGAGCCAUUACUUUUGUCAAUGAAAUUCCUUGGGUUAUAGAACCUGUAUACAUAGCUCAAUGGGGCACUAUGUGGAUUAUGAUGAGACGAGAAAAAAGAGAUCGUAGACAUUUUAAAAGAAUGAGAUUCCCACCUUUUGAUGAUGAAGAACCUCCUUUAGAUUAUGCAGAUAAUGUUCUGGACGUUGAACCAUUAGAAGCUAUACAAAUUGAACUUGAUUCAGAAGAAGACGAGUCUGUGGCAUCAUGGUUUUACGAACACAAACCCUUGGUUGGGACAAAAUAUGUUAAUGGAUCUACAUAUCGGAGAUGGAACCUAGCGUUACCACAAAUGGCCACUCUGUAUCGUUUGGCUAAUCAAUUGUUAACCGACUUGGUAGAUCAAAAUUUUUUUUAUCUAUUUGACCCCAAAUCAUUCUUCACUGCAAAAGCCCUAAACAUGGCUAUCCCUGGAGGACCGAAAUUUGAACCAUUAGUGAAAGAUUCAAAUGCUGCUGAUGAAGAUUGGAACGAAUUUAAUGACAUAAAUAAGAUCAUUAUCAGGCAGCCUAUCAGAACUGAAUACAGGAUUGCGUUUCCUUACUUGUACAAUAACAUGCCUCAUUUCGUGCAUCUUUCAUGGUAUCAUGCACCAAAUGUUGUGUACAUAAAGACCGAAGAUCCAGAUUUGCCUGCAUUCUAUUUCGAUCCCUUAAUCAAUCCAAUUUCUCACAGAAAUUCACUAAAGACGAUGGAACCACAAAUUGAAGACGAUGAAGACUUUGUUUUACCUGGUGAGGUACAACCAUUUCUUCAGGAAACACCUCUUUAUACCGACAACACAGCAAAUGGAAUAGCACUUCUGUGGGCACCAAGACCAUUUAACACACGUUCUGGUAGAACAAGAAGAGCUAUUGACAUUCCAUUAGUCAAGUCAUGGUACAGAGAACAUUGUCCACCUGGACAACCUGUAAAAGUGCGAGUCAGUUAUCAAAAACUGUUAAAAUAUUUUGUGUUGAACGCUCUGAAGCACAGGCCACCGAAACCGCAAAAAAAACGCUAUUUAUUCCGUUCAUUUAAGUCUACCAAGUUCUUCCAGACAACGACGAUAGACUGGGUGGAAGCCGGUCUGCAAGUGUGUCGGCAAGGAUAUAACAUGUUGAAUCUAUUGAUACACCGAAAGAAUCUCAACUAUCUUCACUUGGAUUACAAUUUCAAUCUGAAACCUGUCAAGACGCUCACGACGAAAGAGAGAAAAAAAUCACGUUUUGGUAACGCUUUUCAUCUGUGUCGUGAAAUCCUUCGUUUGACUAAGCUCAUUAUCGAUUCUCACGUUCAGUAUCGAUUAAACAAUGUGGAUGCCUUUCAACUUGCUGAUGGAUUACAAUAUAUCUUUGCACAUGUUGGUCAAUUGACUGGCAUGUAUCGAUACAAAUACAAAUUAAUGCGACAGAUUAGGAUGUGCAAAGAUUUGAAACAUCUAAUCUAUUAUCGUUUCAAUACCGGACCAGUCGGUAAAGGACCUGGCUGUGGAUUCUGGGCACCUGGCUGGCGUGUCUGGUUGUUCUUCAUGAGAGGUAUCACUCCAUUAUUAGAAAGAUGGCUGGGUAAUUUACUGUCAAGACAAUUUGAAGGUCGUCAUUCGAAGGGUGUGGCGAAAACAGUGACGAAGCAACGAGUUGAGUCGCACUUCGAUCUUGAAUUACGAGCAUCUGUAAUGCAUGACAUAGUAGAUAUGAUGCCUGAAGGAAUAAAACAGAACAAAGCACGGACUAUCCUUCAACAUCUAAGUGAGGCCUGGCGUUGUUGGAAGGCGAAUAUUCCAUGGAAAGUGCCAGGUUUACCAAUUCCAAUCGAGAAUAUGAUAUUGCGUUACGUAAAAAUGAAAGCCGAUUGGUGGACGAAUACGGCUCAUUACAAUCGAGAGAGAAUUCGACGCGGUGCUACAGUGGAUAAAACCGUAUGCAAGAAGAAUCUUGGUCGUUUGACGCGUCUCUAUUUGAAAGCUGAGCAAGAACGACAGCAUAAUUACUUGAAAGACGGUCCGUAUAUAUCCCCGGAAGAAGCCGUAGCAAUCUUUACUACUUCGGUGCAUUGGCUGGAGUCUCGAAGAUUCGCUCCGAUCCCUUUCCCACCAUUAUCGUACAAACACGACACAAAGCUACUGAUAUUGGCUCUGGAACGCUUGAAAGAAGCGUAUAGUGUUAAAUCUAGAUUAAAUCAAAGUCAACGAGAAGAAUUAGGAUUGAUAGAGCAAGCAUAUGACAAUCCACACGAGGCACUAUCUAGAAUUAAAAGACAUUUGCUUACGCAAAGAGCCUUCAAGGAAGUCGGCAUUGAAUUCAUGGAUCUUUAUAGUCAUUUGAUUCCUGUGUAUGAUGUAGAGCCGCUCGAAAAGAUCACAGAUGCUUACCUCGAUCAAUACUUGUGGUAUGAGGCGGACAAAAGACGACUAUUCCCACCCUGGGUGAAACCAGCCGACACGGAACCUCCACCACUCCUUGUUUACAAGUGGUGCCAAGGUAUCAACAAUCUACAGGACGUGUGGGAUGUCAGUGAGGGUGAGUGCAAUGUAUUGCUCGAAUCGAAGUUUGAGAAACUGUACGAAAAGAUCGAUCUCACACUGCUUAACAGACUGUUGCGUCUAAUAGUCGAUCACAAUAUUGCCGAUUACAUGACGGCGAAGAAUAACGUAGUCAUCAAUUACAAGGAUAUGAAUCACACUAACAGUUACGGUAUUAUCAGGGGAUUGCAAUUUGCAUCUUUUAUUGCUCAGUACUAUGGACUGGUAUUGGAUCUGCUCGUGUUAGGUCUCCAACGAGCUAGCGAGAUGGCUGGCCCGCCGCAAAUGCCAAACGACUUCUUGACGUUUCAGGAUGUCGCCUCUGAAACGGCGCAUCCUAUUCGAUUGUACUGUCGCUAUGUCGAUAGAAUACAUCUAUUCCUGCGCUUCUCUGCUGACGAAGCGAGAGAUCUUAUUCAGCGUUAUCUUACUGAGCAUCCUGAUCCAAAUAAUGAGAACAUUGUUGGCUACAACAAUAAGAAAUGUUGGCCGCGAGACGCUCGUAUGAGGCUGAUGAAGCACGACGUGAACCUAGGUCGCGCCGUUUUCUGGGACAUUAAAAACCGACUACCACGUUCCACCACUACCAUUCAAUGGGAGAAUAGCUUUGUCAGCGUCUAUAGUAAAGAUAAUCCCAAUUUAUUGUUCAACAUGAGUGGUUUUGAAUGCAGGAUUCUACCCAAAUGUAGAACAACUCACGAGGAAUUUACACAUCGGGAUGGCGUCUGGAAUCUUCAGAAUGAAAUCACAAAAGAGAGAACAGCGCAAUGCUUCCUACGUGUUGAUGAUGAGAGUUUGCAGCGUUUCCAUAAUCGUGUCAGACAAAUCUUGAUGGCCUCGGGUUCAACUACUUUCACGAAGAUCGUAAAUAAGUGGAAUACUGCAUUAAUCGGUUUAAUGACUUAUUUCAGAGAGGCAGUGGUGAACACACAAGAAUUAUUGGAUCUGCUAGUCAAGUGUGAAAAUAAGAUUCAGACACGUAUUAAAAUCGGACUGAAUUCCAAAAUGCCAUCGCGUUUUCCACCUGUCGUCUUUUACACGCCCAAAGAAUUGGGAGGUCUGGGAAUGUUAUCGAUGGGUCAUGUAUUAAUACCGCAAUCAGACUUGAGAUGGUCGAAGCAAACCGACGUGGGCAUCACUCACUUCCGUUCGGGUAUGAGCCACGACGAAGAUCAACUGAUUCCGAACUUGUAUCGUUAUAUACAGCCAUGGGAAUCAGAAUUUAUCGAUUCUCAACGCGUUUGGGCAGAGUACGCCCUGAAACGGCAAGAGGCCAACGCUCAGAAUCGCAGACUCACUCUAGAAGAUCUCGAGGAUAGCUGGGAUCGCGGUAUUCCCAGAAUAAAUACGCUAUUUCAGAAGGACCGACACACGCUGGCCUAUGACAAGGGCUGGCGCAUUCGCACUGAAUUCAAACAAUAUCAAGUGUUGAAACAGAAUCCGUUUUGGUGGACUCAUCAACGUCAUGAUGGCAAACUAUGGAAUUUGAACAACUACCGAACUGACAUGAUUCAAGCGCUCGGUGGUGUCGAGGGCAUCUUGGAACAUACUCUCUUUAAGGGAACUUACUUCCCGACGUGGGAGGGUCUGUUUUGGGAGAAAGCAUCUGGUUUCGAAGAAUCCAUGAAAUACAAGAAAUUGACAAAUGCUCAACGUUCCGGUCUCAACCAGAUUCCCAAUCGUCGAUUCACUCUAUGGUGGUCACCCACUAUUAAUCGCGCCAACGUUUACGUCGGUUUCCAAGUGCAGCUUGAUCUGACAGGGAUAUUCAUGCACGGAAAAAUACCAACCUUAAAAAUCUCGUUGAUCCAGAUAUUCCGCGCUCAUUUGUGGCAAAAGGUACACGAAUCCAUUGUGAUGGAUCUUUGCCAGGUUUUCGAUCAAGAAUUGGAUGCACUAGAAAUUGAAACUGUGCAGAAGGAGACGAUACAUCCGCGAAAGUCUUACAAAAUGAACUCCUCAUGUGCCGACAUUCUACUAUUCUCCGCCUAUAAGUGGAACGUGUCUCGACCAUCUCUUCUUGCUGACUCCAAAGAUGUGAUGGAUAACACGACCACGCAAAAGUAUUGGAUCGAUGUUCAAUUGAGAUGGGGCGACUAUGACUCACAUGACAUCGAGCGAUAUGCUCGUGCGAAAUUCCUUGAUUAUACUACGGAUAACAUGUCCAUCUAUCCAUCACCCACUGGUCUUCUCAUAGCCAUCGAUUUAGCAUAUAAUUUACAUAGCGCUUACGGUAAUUGGUUCCCUGGUUGCAAACCACUUAUACAGCAAGCCAUGGCAAAGAUCAUGAAAGCAAAUCCAGCCUUGUAUGUGUUACGUGAACGUAUUCGCAAGGCAUUGCAGUUAUACUCGUCCGAACCGACGGAGCCUUAUCUCUCCUCGCAAAAUUAUGGCGAACUCUUCUCCAAUCAGAUCAUAUGGUUCGUUGACGACACGAACGUGUAUCGCGUAACUAUCCACAAAACUUUUGAAGGCAAUUUAACAACAAAACCGAUAAAUGGUGCAAUUUUCAUCUUCAAUCCACGCACGGGACAACUCUUUUUGAAAAUUAUUCACACUUCCGUUUGGGCGGGCCAAAAGCGUCUGGGUCAAUUGGCCAAAUGGAAGACUGCUGAAGAAGUUGCUGCGCUGAUUCGUUCUCUACCAGUAGAGGAACAACCAAAACAGAUUAUCGUCACCAGAAAGGGAAUGUUAGAUCCACUGGAAGUGCACUUGUUGGAUUUUCCCAACAUAGUUAUCAAAGGAUCCGAGUUACAAUUACCAUUCCAGGCAUGUCUCAAAGUCGAGAAGUUUGGUGAUUUGAUUUUAAAGGCAACCGAGCCACAGAUGGUACUAUUCAAUCUUUAUGACGACUGGUUGAAGACAAUCUCAUCUUAUACUGCGUUCUCACGACUGAUUCUGAUCUUACGCGCUCUGCAUGUUAACACUGAGAGAACCAAAGUUGUCCUCAAACCCGACAAGACUACCAUCACUGAGCCACAUCAUAUAUGGCCAUCACUGACGGACGACGAAUGGAUUAAAGUAGAAGUACAAUUAAAGGAUCUGAUUCUAGCAGACUAUGGCAAGAAGAACAAUGUCAAUGUUGCAUCGCUCACGCAAUCCGAGAUUCGCGAUAUCAUUUUGGGUAUGGAAAUAAGUGCUCCAUCUGCGCAACGGCAACAAAUUGCCGAGAUUGAAAAGCAGACUAAGGAACAGAGCCAAUUAACCGCUACCACCACGCGAACAGUAAACAAACACGGUGAUGAGAUUAUUACUGCGACUACGUCCAAUUAUGAGACGCAGACUUUCAGCUCUAAGACUGAGUGGCGAGUACGUGCUAUCUCUGCAACUAAUCUCCAUCUCAGAACAAAUCACAUCUAUGUUUCAUCCGAUGAUAUCAAAGAGACUGGUUAUACUUACAUCUUACCUAAAAAUGUAUUAAAGAAAUUUGUUACCAUUUCUGAUUUGCGAGCGCAGAUAGCUGGUUAUUUGUAUGGCAUCAGUCCACCUGACAAUCCUCAGGUAAAAGAAAUCAGAUGUAUUGUAAUGGCACCGCAAUGGGGAACUCAUCAGACCGUUCAUUUACCAAAUACACUACCUAAUCAUCAAUAUUUAAAAGAGAUGGAGCCACUAGGAUGGAUACACACGCAGCCAAAUGAGCUGCCACAACUCUCGCCACAGGACAUAUCCACUCACGCUCGGAUUAUGGCGGAGAAUUCCAUUUGGGACGGCGAGAAGACCAUAGUUAUCACUUGCAGUUUCACGCCUGGUUCUUGCUCUCUCACAGCGUACAAACUAACUCCGAGUGGUUUCGAAUGGGGCAAGCAAAAUACUGAUAAGGGCAACAAUCCGAAAGGUUAUCUACCUAGUCAUUAUGAGAAGGUACAGAUGCUUUUGUCUGAUCGUUUCCUUGGCUUCUUUAUGGUGCCUAGUCAAGGCUCGUGGAAUUACAAUUUCAUGGGCGUGAGACACGAUCCCAACAUGAAAUAUGAGUUACAACUAGCGAAUCCAAAGGAAUUUUAUCAUGAGGUGCACAGGCCGGCCCAUUUUCUCAAUUUUUCAAGCUUGGAAGAUGGUGACGGUGUUGGAGCUGAUCGAGAAGAUAUGUUUGCGUAAAAUAAACUCCUUAAGAUUUUGACUGACAGUAAUUGAAAGAAGUGCAGGAUGUGUACAAGUAGUAUGAGAGUGCAUAUUAAAUGCAAAUACACAACUAUUAAACAUUAAACGAAUGAUUAUGAUGGCACUUGUACGAAUGAUUAUGAUGGCACUUGUACGAAUGAUUAUGAUGGCACUUGUACAGAAAUAUUCUGUGACCGUAAGCGGUGAAGAGCUAUAUUGUAUUAUCUAAUGCGACAAAUGAAAUGCAAUUCCAAAAAUCUAUUGACAAAUAUAUUUCAUACUAAAUCAAUGGAAUAAUUAAAUUAAAUUUAUUAUUAUUAUGGGGAUACUCGAUUUAAAGUCUAUCUCAGUGCAAGGAUUUUCAAGGUACAUAUGUAUUACUAUCACAUAUGAUAAAAUGUAUAUGCAUAUGAUAAAAUGUACGGAUGAUUUGACAUUGGUCGGUAUUUAAUUUUACUUUUGUUCCACGAAUAUAAAAUAUCUUAAAUGUCAUUUAAUCUCCAUAUAAAC